CCUCAGCAACUGCAAGACACAGCCCGAAGGGAACGGAAAGGCUGGGCUGACCCUGCUGUAACUCCUCUCCUGGGUGAUGGGGCCUGACACACUUGGCAGCAAAUCACAGAAAAGACCAGAGCUCUGCGCCAGGCGGGUGCCCCACAGGGAGCCGCACCCCCCGCUGUAGGUUUUCCACAGGGAAUCCACUGGAAAAGCAGGUCCAACGUACGGAAUUUUCCUCGACUGCAAGUUUCACGCCUUUCUUCUACUGAAGAAGCCCAUUCACGCAGCAUCCCGUGCUUUCUGCACUAGAGCAGCUGCCUAUGAAGGCAGCGAGGGAUGCGUCCUGUGGGUCCCCUCUGUCCCCCAGACUCCCUGGGGUGCCUGGCGCAUGCACGCCCUCGGAAAUGGACCCCAGCACUGGUCAGCAGCCUCCACUGCCCACACUGUCACCAGGACGAGAGCAGGGCAGCCCCAGCCAGGCCCGCUCUGCUGGAUGCGGCCGAACUGCUGGCCACUAAAGGCCUCGGAAGCACUGGAGCCCCUGGCCGGGCACAGCGACCCUCCGCUCACUGCCGGAGCGUCAGUGCCUGGCCUUGGGGAGGGCACCGAGAGCAGGUUCUGUGUGAGAACCACGUGGCGAGGAUGGAGCCGCAGUGUCUGCAUGGCACGCACACCCUGAGGACAGCUGCUGAGCUGAGCAUCACCGGGAUGUGCAUCUGCAGUCUGAUGCGGGUUUUGUUCUUAAUAAUCCCAGGCAACUUACAGAAUCUGCAGGGACACCAGGCCUUGGAAGUUUUUCCUAGGUGUGAAAACCCGCUUGCAGAAAGCAUCUCCACUUCCUCCUCUGUCCGGAAGCAGCUCCCCAGGUCACCCGGGCAGUGACUCCACGACCUAAGUUCCUCACGGAGCCUCCGUGGUGGGAGGGAAGAAGAGGACAGGCAGAGAAGGGGCCCGAGACCGCACGACCCUAACUAGCACGCCGGAUGCUGAGGCAGGAGGAUCCCCACGGGUUCCAGACCAGCCUGGAAUACAUAGUGAGACCCUGUCUCAAAACGUUUUUAGAAGGGGAGAAUUCAUGCAGCGCUGUCAUCUCCCAGCCUCCCGACGGCAGCUACAGAAGGCCCGACAGACGGACGGACGGAGGCCCAGAUAGACGCCGGCUGCGUGGGCGCACCCGCAGGAUUGACCCUUUGCUUACAGGAAGCCUCAUUUAUAAGAACGCCCCCUUUCUUAACUCGAAAGCCACCUAUCAAAACAGAAAACGCCAGUGCACUAACACACCUCAGCAAGAAGAGUGGGCCAAAGACCA